UACGGAGGAUGCGAGCGUUAUCCGGAAUUAUUGGGCGUAAAGGGAACGCAGGCGGUCUUUUAAGUCUGAUGUGAAAGCCUUCGGCUUAACCGGAGUAGUGCAUUGGAAACUGGUUGACUUGAGUGCAGAAGAGGGAAGUGGAAUUCCAUGUGUAGCGGUGAAAUGCGUAGAGAUAUGGAAGAACACCAGUGGCGAAAGCGGCUCUCUGGUCUGUAACUGACGCUGAGGUUCGAAAGCGUGGGUAGCAAACAGG
rnacentral:rRNA from 1 species